AACUCGAGAGGGUAAUACAACGCCAGAGCUAAUUUUGCAUUGGCGCGGCUGGAAUGCAGGUGAAUCAGGCUAAUUGCGCCUGUGUUAACUUCCAAUCCAUGAUCUUGUCAGCAAUCCUUUCAACUGAUAGUUAUUGAACCACGUCACAAUUUCUUGGAUAUCUGACAUCUGCCGAAAGUGGCUAGCGGCAGAGUUAGCGGACUUCUUCAUCUGGAGACGGCGAGAUACCAUGUGCUGCAAUGUACUGUCGAAAGGGAGGGGUUUUCAUGAUCUUGCAUUUUGGGGCGGUUCGUGAGGGGGUUACUACACUACUGUGCAAUAUCCCUGAGAGAUACCCCUGUCCCUUGUGGAGCCAGUAACUUUCCUUUCCCUUUCACACUGGCCGAGUCAAGAUUCGCCAGUCUUGGGCAUGGCGCUGGUAAUAAUGAGCGAA
rnacentral:sRNA from 1 species